UCCCCGAUAGCUCAAUCGGCAGAGCGGUUGACUGUUAAUCAAUAGGUUGCUGGUUCAAGUCCAGCUCGGGGAG
rfam:Denitrovibrio acetiphilus DSM 12809, complete genome.